GCUGGGCGCGGUGGCUUGUGCCUGUAAUCCCAGUACUUUGGGAGGCUGAGGUGGGUGGAUCACCUGAGGUCAGGAGUUUGAGACCAGCCUGGCCAACAUGGUGAAACCCCAUCUCUG
ensembl:misc_RNA Metazoa_SRP Metazoan signal recognition particle RNA